AUUGAACGCUGGCGGCAUGCUUUACACAUGCAAGUCGAACGGUAACAGGCCUUCGGGUGCUGACGAGUGGCGAACGGGUGAGUAAUGCAUCGGAACGUGCCCAGAGGUGGGGGAUAACGCAGCGAAAGCUGUGCUAAUACCGCAUGUGAUCUGAGGAUGAAAGCGGGGGACCAGGCAGCAAUGUUUGGCCUCGCGCCUUUGGAGCGGCCGAUGUCAGAUUAGGUAGUUGGUGGGGUAAAGGCCUACCAAGCCGACGAUCUGUAGCUGGUCUGAGAGGACGACCAGCCACACUGGGACUGAGACACGGCCCAGACUCCUACGGGAGGCAGCAGUGGGGAAUGUUGGACAAUGGGCGCAAGCCUGAUCCAGCAAUGCCGCGUGCGGGAAGAAGGCCUUCGGGUUGUAAAACGCUUUUGUACGGAACGAAAAGGCUCUGGCUAAUACCUGGGGCUGAUGACGGUACCGUAAGAAUAAGCACCGGCUAACUACGUG
rnacentral:rRNA from 1 species